ACGUUAGCGGCGGACGGGUGAGUAACACGUGGGUAACCUACCUAUAAGACUGGGAUAACUUCGGGAAACCGGAGCUAAUACCGGAUAAUAUUUCGAACCGCAUGGUUCGAUAGUGAAAGGUGGUUUUGCUAUCGCUUAUAGAUGGACCCGCGCCGUAUUAGCUAGUUGGUAAGGUAACGGCUUACCAAGGCGACGAUACGUAGCCGACCUGAGAGGGUGAUCGGCCACACUGGAACUGAGACACGGUCCAGACUCCUACGGGAGGCAGCAGAG
rnacentral:rRNA from 1 species